CUGACGUCCACAUCAUCAACUGUGGUGACGACAACCUGAGGGAGAUCAGUAGCAUCAGAGAAUGAUGUCAACGGAGAAACUGUAUUUGGGGCUGACUGAAGCCAUGGUUGGAUACGUCUUUGAUGGCUCCUUCAAAAAGAAAAUAAAGUUUCAUCAGUUUGUAGCAGCUGAAGUCUACAAUCUACAACCCACAACAGAGCUCAAACCUCAGCCUUCUUCUGAUCCAAGAUAAAUUGCUGAGUGGAAGUCUCCCUUUGCAAAACAGUACACUGACGCAAGACAUGGUGCCCUGGCUGAAGAUCUUCCAGGAAUCCACUUAAGGGCCGGGCUUAUUCUCUCAGCAUCCACCUUCAGAGAAAAGAUAAACACUACAAUUGAAUUGUCCAACAAUACUGACUGGUAGAUCUCACAUACAUGCACAGAAAAAGAUUGCUUGGAUUCAGGAUUUAAAGUCUACAAUAGAUAUGCUUCAUUUAAUUCAAAUUCUUUUUCAUGUCUUGGUUGUAUUCAUAUUUUUUCGAUUGCUGUUUUAAUGGGCGAAGUAUGAAAAUUUGUCCCCAUCUGUUUACAUGGAAAUUAUGAUAAUAAUAUAAAUAUUUUGUUUUACACGGAAGAAAUAUGGCUAAACUGAAAGAUUAACUUCUAAUUUUAGGUUUUGUAGAUUAAUUCAUAUCAUUGUUAAUAUGUAAAUAGAAAAACACAUUCACAUACAAAAUUGGCUGAUAAGUCUGGUAUGAACUUAAAUGAGUCAUAUACCGAUAUAAAACCCAUACCAGGCUUUUCACAUAAUCACUAAUAUGUUCUUCCAAAAGUCCAAAUAAACCCACUUUGUGAUCAAAAAUAGAAUUUUCUAAUUCAAUUAAGACUGAAUAGCAUAUUAACUAAUUUUGAUUCACACUCAAUAAAUGGUUAAUUAUAUUGAACAUUCUUUUUGUUAUGUUCCCUUUAAGCCCACCUGGUAAAAUGUUUUGAGGGAAUAAUUUUUGAUACCAGUUUAUACAAGAACAUUACAUGCCUAGCGUGCAUAUUGGAUUUCACAAAUGCAAAAAUCGAAUUAAACAUUAGAAAGUGUUUUUAUCUUGGGUGCUGCAAAUAAAAAAUUAAAAAAUCUAAACAAAUAAAACCUCAGGACAGGGUACCUUCAAGUGCUUGUGCAUAAGAGGCUCUGACAUAUAAUGUAUCAAUCUGAUUUGCUUGCACUAUGCAAAUUACAUACUAAAUACACUACAGAGAUUGGGAACAGACAGAUUGUCUUGGGGCAC